rnacentral:rRNA from 1 species
UACAGAGGUCUCAAGCGUUGUUCGGAUUCAUUGGGCGUAAAGGGUGCGUAGGCGGGUUUUUAAGUCAGGGGUGAAAUCCUGGAGCUCAACUCCAGAACUGCCUUUGAUACUGAAGAUCUUGAGUCCGGGAGAGGUGAGUGGAACUGCGAGUGUAGAGGUGAAAUUCGUAGAUAUUCGCAAGAACACCAGUGGCGAAGGCGGCUCACUGGCCCGGUACUGACGCUGAGGUGCGAAAGCUAGGGGAGCAAACGGG